UUGAAUGCAGCUUUAACUGGUGAGAGGUUGAUGGCGCAAAAGUAUCAUACAUGUGAUGUUGAGGAUCCAAACUACCCCAGCAAAUUUCUCGAGGUUAUCACCCUCCACUCACAAAGUUGUGAACUAAUUUGGUGCUUUUUCUAGGAUCCUUAAUGUGGUUGAAUUUCUUGCCUGGUAGGAAUUAGGGUUUGGGGAGUUGAGAGGUGUAAGAAGGUCAUGGAGCUGGUUUGUGAAGUCAAGCUUUUUGGGUGCUGGUCAUUCAACAACACUGAGGUUUGUUUUUUUCCCACCACUUCAGCCUCUCUUCAUGCUCAAUUGCUUUGUGUUUUAUAAAUUGGUGGGGUGAGUGAGUGAGUUAGAGAUAUAGCAUUUGUCAGAUUAUAUACCUGAAAAACACCAAAUAAUUUCAUUUCUUAGAAUAGCACCAAUGUGGUUCAGCUCAAUGUACCAAGUUGGUGCCUUGCCUGAAACCAUAUUGCCGUGAACCAAGCAACAACAUGGGCUAGGUUUCAAGUAACCUGCACUUUUGAAGCACUUCAAAGUUUCUGGAGUAUGUGGAGUUGCUGCACAAGAAUGUGACUUCAACAUAAUGCAUUCAGGAACCUAGAGCUUCAAAUCUGACUUGUUUGUGCAAUGUUGUACAAGACGGUUUGUAGAAUGAAUCAUGUAGGUUAUUUUGGCUCCUAUUAAUGAACUUAAUACAGCUUUUUAUGGAAUGGUUUUGUAGUUGCUGGCUGUUAAGCAAACACAUCAAAGAUAAUUGCCGGAACGGCUUAUUUUGUUUAGUUUUCUGAUUGCUGAAAACUCACAACAAUGUUUUAUAAUUCUCAUCAUCCAAGGUCUCCAAUGUAAAACACAUUCUAAAACUUCACUUCAUAAUUUCAGUUGCCAUUGCAAAAUCUUUUCUAAUGGCUUUAUGCAUGAAUCUUCUGUCAUCUUGUGUAUUAUAUCCAUUGAGGUGAUGGGAACGCAAUUGUUUCUGAAAGUGAAC
rnacentral:lncRNA from 1 species